CCCAAAGGACGCGCGGAGCGUACCUGCCGACGUCACCAUAGAGCAAAAACAAACGGCCUCUUCUUUUCCGCGCCGAGCGCAGUUCGCCCUUCUCCUUUCAGCACCGGGAACCGUCCGACGCGUACGACUCCGCGCGUCUCCCUCCUGGGACAAGAUAAAUAAACAUUUAACGGACUUUGAUCACGAACAAACGUUUACAAUGAGUUAUUGACUCUCUCAUUGAGUCACAAGUCACCGAACUCCAUGGACGAAAUAUAUCCAUAUUAACGUUCUUUCAUUGUUUUGAAUAUCCUUUUUGACGGUUGGACUUGGUUGAGGCUAUGUGUGUCGGUUGUGUUUACUUCAUGUAAUGUGGAUGUUACCUGUGUCCGUGGCUGUGUCCGUGGCUGUGUCCGUGGCUGGAGGAUGAGCGCCGGCGUGGCAGGGGACGCGACAGUAACUCAUACUAUGCAGGCAAGCCUGUAGGGUAGACCAGGCUGAGCCCCCUGAUGAGUUGAGUCUCCCCUCCUCUCCCAGCGUAGCCAGGUGGGAUGUCCCAGAUGUGUGUCCUCUUAUCUCUGCUCUCCCUCUCUGGCUACACCCAGGUCUCCUCGGCUAAAUCUCUGAAACUCCUGAUGGAACAAUGGACGAGCUACAAGAACCAGUGUUCUCAGAGCAUCGUCGCCACGCCUCCCGCCACAGGUCAGUCUCAGCCUCACGCUGUG